rnacentral:lncRNA from 1 species
CGGCAAAGGAAUCAGAGAGCAAUUUAUUUUUAUUUCAUUGUUCAGACUGGCUGCCAUCCCACUUAGAUAGAAGGGAGGUUUUCCUGGGUUGUCACGGCUUGCACUUGCAUGUCUUCAAAGCACUUGUAACUGCUUCUCACUCUUUCCACACCACUGGCAGGGAACAUGUUUGCAUCCCCAUUUUGCAGGUGGGGAAACCAAAGGCCAGGAGAGAAGGCAUAGCCCAAACACCAAAUUUUCUUGCCUCUGUCGUCCACCUCUGCUCCUAAUUCUUGACCUGUUGGGUAUUCUGAACAACCUCCUCCCCACUUGUCACCUCUGAGUUUGCAGGUAGCACGGAUAGAAUUCAUAGUAACCCAGAUCUGAAGCCUACAAUCCCUUGCCAGCUUGGUCCUUAGGCAAGACAAUUCUUUCCAUAAGAUAUUUAUAAAAGGCCCUCAGCCAGACCUGUGAGAGAGCUUGUUAUUACUCAGCCAAGAUUGCUCUCUCCUCCCGUUCCUCAUUCACCAGGAUCACAAUGAUACAUGCAACUAUUGUAGGAAAUGUAAGCUCUUCCUGAAACAAAAUUUAAGCAGCUAGUAUUUACUGAGCACUUACUUACAUGGAGCCCAUGGACUAUGCUAACACUUCACAUACAUUACCUUAGCCUUGGGACAGCCCAGCGAAAAUUCUUACCCCGGUUUUAUAGAUGAGGACAUUGAGGCUAAGAAAGACUCAGUGACUUGACCAAGGUCAUUUAGUUUGAGACAAUAUUCAUAACUCAAGUCUGUCACCCACCAAAAGCCACCUGAUUUUCACUCAAUAGCAUGGCCCUAGCUUAGCACCCUAUGAGUAGUACAUGGAAACACAUCCCAAAGUGGCAUAAGACAAGCCAGGCAAGACUGAGCUUUUUAAUUCUAGCUGCUUGGCUCACAACCCAGACUCCAAUGAGGCUACUUCCAUGCUGUUUCACGCAGCCAACAGUCCCAUCAGCCAGGGCGCUGGGAAGCUGACAAGUCAAAGGGCUCCCUGGCAGGCUUGUCCUGGCAGCGACCCAGCUGACUUGUGCUAACACAGCACAGGAAAGGGUCUAGCGAGAAUGGAAAAGCACCAGACAACGAGCCGCUGAGGGAGAGAGGUGAUUCCUGCCCCGCUCAGAUAGGAUAACCCUGCUCCACAGCCACAACCAUCACGAGGCUGGGAAAAGACCUGUGGAGGAGGGAAACAAGAGGCAAGCGCAGUGCUGGGAGUCAAACCCAGGGCUUCACUCAUACGCUAGACAAGCCUCUUACCACUGAGCUACACCACUACCACCCCAGGACAAGAGGGGCAUUUUUGAGAGAUCACAAAUUGACCCUCACUGGUUCCAAAUAACCCAAGUAUGUUAGCAUGCUUAGAUUUUAAAAAAUGAAUUGCCGACUUUUUUUAAAACAUAAGUUUCUAUAGAUAAAUAAUAAAAACUCCACUUAACUUUUACAUUUUUAAGGGAAAAAAGUGGAAAACUGGUGCCACUGAGGAAGCAGCAAACUGGAAGUUGAAUCACUACUGCCCCCUCUUGUCAGGGCUGUACUUUGCUCAUUUGUCAUCUGAUCCUGCAGGCAUCAAGAUUUGUUUAAAUACCGAAUAGUUUCUCUAGUGUGAGAAACUGAAAAUGUAAAUAAGGACUAAAAGGUAUAAUAGAUAAUGUGAAAUAGGAAGAAAAGGGGCAAAGGGGAGGGGGAGGGGAAAGGAAAGAAGGGAAUGGAAUUAAUAUGAGAAUAUAAGAACCAAGAGAGUCUGUAAAUGUGCAUAUCUCCAAUGAUGAAUGUCAUUAUAUUGUACACCUAAAAUGUACCAAUAAAAGGAUAUACAAAAAAACCCCAAUUAUGACCAUGUGAUAAGAUGAAUGAUUUUAAGAAAUAACAGGUGAAAAAGCAAUAUAAAAUUUAAAGUAUAAUGGUGUAACUGUCUUUAAAAACUACACAGAAACCCAGUAUGGUGGCACAUGCCUAUAAUUCUAGCACUUGGGAGGCUGAGGCAGGAGGAUCACCAUGAAUUCAAGGCCAGUCUGGACUACAUAGUGAGUUCAAGGCCACCCUGAACUACAUAGCAAAACCCUGGUUCAAAAACAAAAACAAAACUACACAGAAAAGUAGUGAAAAGAUAACAAAAUUCUAACAGUGGUUGCAUUACAGUGCUGGAAGUGUUGGUGACCUUGUUCUAAUCCCUACCAAAUUUCCUUUAAUGUGCAUAUAUUAUUUUCUCUUUCUUUUUUUUUUUUGGUACCGGGGAUCGAACUCAG